GGGCGGCCCCUGCCCCAGAAACUGUUACUGUUGGCAGGGCACCACAGAUCAUUCAGUCCUCCAUUCCCUCUUACAGUAACAUGACACCAGCUUCAGCUCUUGCUCAGAAUGUGGUGUUAACAGAUGAACUGAUGUCAUUUGCUAAUAUUGAUCAAUCGCUUGGUAACCAGACAUUACAGCUGGGACCCCCUGUUUCAUCAGGUGGAUCCUAUCUGUCUCAGGUGGCAUCCUAUCCCUCCCAGUCUCCUAACAGUGUGACUGUCCUGGGUCCCAUCAACAGUGCCUCCACCCUGCCUAC